AGUGAACGCUGGCGGUAGGCCUAACACAUGCAAGUCGAACGGCAGCACAGUAAGAGCUUGCUCUUACGGGUGGCGAGUGGCGGACGGGUGAGGAAUACAUCGGAAUCUACUUUUUCGGGGGGGAUAACGUAGGGAAACUUACGCUAAUACCGCAUACGACCUACGGGUGAAAGCAGGGGAUCUUCGGACCUUGCGCGAUUGAAUGAGCCGAUGUCGGAUUAGCUAGUUGGCGGGGUAAAGGCCCACCAAGGCGACGAUCCGUAGCUGGUCUGAGAGGAUGAUCAGCCACACUGGAACUGAGACACGGUCCAGACUCCUACGGGAGGCAGCAGUGGGGAAUAUUGGACAAUGGGCGCAAGCCUGAUGCAGCCAUACCGCGUGGGUGAAGAAGGCCUUCGGGUUGUAAAGCCCUUUUGUUGGGAAAGAAAAGCAGCAGGUUAAUACCCCGCUGUUCUGACGGUACCCAAAGAAUAAGCACCGGCUAACUUCGUG
rnacentral:rRNA from 1 species